CCACUCUUUGCAGGAGGCAGUUAUGAGACGUGAAGAUGAGUAUCUUGUAAAGAGGGAUAGGAGAAUUGGAGGGCAAGUUUGGUGCCAGCAGCCGCGGUAAUACCGACUCCAAGAGUGUGUAUGAGAGAUGCUGCAGUUAAAAAGUCCGUAGUCAUAGAAGGGCAAAGAGAGAUGCGAGGUCUCACAGUGCGAUGAUGGAGGAGCCGAUGGGGAACAUAGUAUACCAGGGCGAGAGAUGAAAUGCCAAGACCCCUGGUGGACUGAGCGAGGCGAAGGCGAUGUUCUUGUAGGCAUUCGGUGAUCAAGGACGAAGGCUGGAGUAUCGAAAGUGAUUAGAUACCGCAGUAGUUCCAGCAGUAAAAGAUGCCGACAUGCUCAUUGGACACAGUGGGCAGGGAGAAAUCUUAGAGUUCGGGCUCUGGGGAUAGUAUGCUCGCAAGGGUGAAAAUUAAAGAAAUUGACGGAGCUACACCACAAGGAGUGGAUUGUGCGGCUUAAUUUGACUCAACGCGAGGAAACUUACCAGGGCCAAGUAUUGUGUAGAAACGAGCAAUACAGGAGUGGUGCAUGGUCGUUGGAAAUUGAUGGGAUGACUUUG
rnacentral:rRNA from 1 species